rnacentral:rRNA from 1 species
AGAGUUUGAUCCUGGCUCAGGAUGACCUCUGGCGGCGUGCUUAACACAUGCAAGUCGAGCGAAGCACUCGGCCUUGAAUCUUCGGAGGAAAGGCGGUUUGACUGAGCGGCGGACGGGUGAGUAACGCGUGGGCAACCUGCCCCAUACGGGGGGAUAACAGUUAGAAAUGACUGCUAAUACCGCAUAAGACCGCGGUGCCGCAUGGCACAGCGGUAAAAACUCCGGUGGUAUGGGAUGGGCCCGCGUCUGAUUAGCUAGUUGGCGGGGUAACGGCCCACCAAGGCGACGAUCAGUAGCCGACCUGAGAGGGCGACCGGCCACAUUGGGACUGAGACACGGCCCAAACUCCUACGGGAGGCAGCAGUGGGGAAUAUUGCACAAUGGGGGGAACCCUGAUGCAGCGACGCCGCGUGGGUGAAGGAGUACUUCGGUACGUAAAGCCCUAUCAGCAGGAAAGAAAAUGACGGUACCUGACUAAGAAGCCCCGGCUAACUACGUGCCAGCAGCCGCGGUAAUACGUAGGGGGCAAGCGUUAUCCGGAUUUACUGGGUGUAAAGGGAGCGUAGACGGCAGUGCAAGUCCGGAGUGAAAGCCCGGGGCUCAACCCUGGGACUGCUCUGGAAACUGCAAAGCUGGAGUGCGGGAGGGGCAGGCGGAAUUCCUGGUGUAGCGGUGAAAUGCGUAGAUAUCAGGAGGAACACCGGCGGCGAAGGCGGCCUGCUGGACCGCGACUGACGUUGAGGCUCGAAAGCGUGGGGAGCGAACAGGAUUAGAUACCCUGGUAGUCCACGCCGUAAACGAUGACUACUAGGUGUCGGGGGACGACAGUGCCCCGGUGCCGGCGCAAACGCAAUAAGUAGUCCACCUGGGGAGUACGUCCGCAAGGAUGAAACUCAAAGGAAUUGACGGGGACCCGCACAAGCGGUGGAGCAUGUGGUUUAAUUCGAUGCAACGCGAAGAACCUUACCAGGGCUUGACAUCCUGCUAACGAGGUAGAGAUACGUCAGGUGCCCUUCGGGGAAAGCAGAAACAGGUGGUGCAUGGUUGUCGUCAGCUCGUGUCGUGAGAUGUUGGGUUAAGUCCCGCAACGAGCGCAACCCUUAUUGUUAGUUGCUACGCAAGAGCACUCUAGCGAGACUGCCGUUGACAAAACGGAGGAAGGUGGGGACGACGUCAAAUCAUCAUGCCCCUUACGUCCUGGGCCACACACGUACUACAAUGGCGGCCAACAAAGAGAGGCGAGACCGCGAGGUGGAGCAAAUCUCAAAAAGCCGUCCCAGUUCGGAUCGCAGGCUGCAACCCGCCUGCGUGAAGUUGGAAUCGCUAGUAAUCGCGGAUCAGAACGCCGCGGUGAAUACGUUCCCGGGUCUUGCACUCACCGCCCGUCA